CCCUUAGAUGUUCUGGGCCGCACGCGCGUUACACUGAUGCAUUCAACAAGUUCUUUCAACUUGGCCGAGAGGCCUGGGCAAUCUUUGAACGUGCAUCGUGAUAGGGAUAGAUUAUUGCAAUUAUUAAUCUUGAACGAGGAAUUCCUAGUAAACGCAGAUCAUCAAUCUGCAUUGAUUACGUCCCUGCCCUUUGUACACACCGCCCGUCGCACCUACCGAUUGAAUGGUCCGGUGAAGCCUCGGGAUUGUGGCUGGUUCCCUUUAUUGGGGAUCGGUUGCGAGAACUUGUCUAAACCUUAUCAUUUAGAGGAAGGUGAANUCGUAACA
rnacentral:rRNA from 1 species